rnacentral:sRNA from 1 species
AAAAUACAAAAGCUAACGGCAAAAUGGAUCAAAAAGGCAGAGAUUCAUGGCAGCAGCUUGUGUUCAGUUACAGAAAAUUCGACAAAUGAAGUUGUAAUUUUACCUCAAGUCGGUUGUUCUACAAUACAUUAGAAG